GCUAACUUUCACCAACCAAAAAGGGUAUUAGGGGAUUUAGUGUAUCCUUCCAUCCUGAAAACUUCCUAAGAUGUACAUUUGAAAAGUAGAUAAAUGUUGCUUAAUAAUAGGUUGUAUGUACUUUACUAAGAAACACUGUGUACUAACGAUUCAUCAAGAGUAUACUAUAUUUACUGCAUUCAUUUUAUAUAUGUGGAUAAGAAUACAUUAUAUAGAGUGAUCCUAUCUUAAUAUACUCAUGUAUUUAUAUUGUAAUUUUGCAAAUAUUUUCAGUAAAAUAAACAUUUAUCUGAGCUGCACAAUCUGAAGAGGAUGAAAUUGAAAUAUACCCUCAGACAUUCAGUUUUAAUAAGCAGCUG
rnacentral:lncRNA from 1 species